UACGUAGGGCGCAAGCGUUGUCCGGAAUUAUUGGGCGUAAAGAGCUCGUAGGCGGUCUGUUACGUCCGCUGUGAAAACCCAGGGCUUAACCCUGGGCUUGCAGUGGAUACGGGUAGACUAGAGGCAGGUAGGGGAGAAUGGAAUUCCCGGUGUAGCGGUGAAAUGCGCAGAUAUCAGGAAGAACACCCGUGGCUAAGGCGGCUCUCUAGUACGGUACUGACGCUGAGACGCGAAAGCGUGGGGAGCGAACAGG
rnacentral:rRNA from 1 species